AUACGUAGGGUGCGAGCGCUGUCCGGACUUACUGGGCGUAAAGCGCUCGUAGGUGGUUUGUCGCGUCGUCUGUGAAAUUCCGGGGCUUAACUCCGGGCGUGCAGGCGAUACGGGCAUAACUUGAGUACUGUAGGGGAGACUGGAAUUCCUGGUGUAGCGGUGAAAUGCGCAGAUAUCAGGAGGAACACCGGUGGCGAAGGCGGGUCUCUGGGCAGUAACUGACGCUGGGGAGCGAAAGCAUGGGUAGCGAACAGGAUUAGAUCCCCUGGUAGUCCAUGCCGUAAACGGUGGGCGCUAGGUGUAGGGGUCUUCCACGACUUCUGUGCCGUAGCUAACGCAUUAAGCGCCCCGCCUGGGGUGUACGGCCGCAAGGCUAAAACUCAAAGGAAUUGACGGGG
rnacentral:rRNA from 1 species